CUUCGGAUGGACGUCUGUGGAACGAGCGGCGGAUGGGUGAGUAUCACGUGGGCAACCUGCCUCGUAAGCUCGGGAGUAACUCGCGGAAACGCGGGCUAAUACCGAAUGACCCUUGCAUCCGCAUGGAUGCAAGAUAAAAGGCGGCUUUUGCUGUCACUUACAGAUGGGCCCGCGGCGCAUUAGCUAGUUGGUGGGGUAAGUGGCUCACCAAAGCGACGAUGCGUAGCCGACCUGAGAGGGUGAUCGGCCACACUGGGACUGAGACACGGCCCAGACUCCUACGGGAGGCAGCAGUAGGGAAUCUUCCGCAAUGGACGAAAGUCUGACGGAGCAACGCCGCGUGAGUGACGAAGGUCUUCGGAUCGUAAAAACUCUGUUGUCAGGGAAGAACAAGCAUCGGCCGAAUAAGCCGGCGCCUUGACGGUACCUGACCAGAAAGCCCCGGCUAACUACGUGCCAGCAGCUGC
rnacentral:rRNA from 1 species